rnacentral:misc_RNA from 1 species
AAAGUCGUAACAAGGUUUCCGUAGGUGAACCUGCGGAAGGAUCAUUAUCGUAUAAUCCACGUAAACAAUCGAGAACUGUAUUCACCUUUUGUCGAGAGUGAGGUAGUGGGAAUUUAGGCUGCUCGUUUUGUGAUUUCGAGCAUAUGGUCUAUUUUCUCCAAUGAGCCCUUUACUGGGUACAUACUCGUUCACUUCAAAUUGUAUUAUCUAAAAAUCAUUGUCUAACAAUUCUAACCAACUUUGAACUUUGACUUAUCUUUUUCAUACUCUUAACGGAGAUGAAAUUCAUUACGAAACAAAGAACAACUCUUAGCAACGGAUAUCUUGGUUCUC